rnacentral:rRNA from 1 species
AGAUUGAACGCUGGCGGCAUGCCUAACACAUGCAAGUCGAACGGCAGCACAGCAGUAGCAAUACUGUGGGUGGCGAGUGGCGGACGGGUGAGUAAUGCAUCGGGACCUACCUGAACGUGGGGGAUAACGUAGGGAAACUUACGCUAAUACCGCAUACGUCCUACGGGAGAAAGCGGGGGAUCUUCGGACCUCGCGCGGUCAGACGGACCGAUGUUCGAUUAGCUAGUUGGUAAGGUAAUGGCUUACCAAGGCGACGAUCGAUAGC